rnacentral:ribozyme from 1 species
UUCCCAGCAACUUCUAUCCCUACCUCCACGUGGUACCGGCCGGAAACUAUGAGCAACUUUAGGGAAGA